GUGUCAGCAGCCGCGGUAAUACAGAGGUCCCAAGCGUUGUUCGGAUUCACUGGGCGUAAAGGGUGCGUAGGUGGCCAGGUAAGUUUGGUGUGAAAGCUCGGAGCUUAACUUCGAAAAGGCAUUGAAUACUACUUGGCUGGAGGAUCGGAGGGGAGACUGGAAUUCUCGGUGUAGCAGUGAAAUGCGUAGAUAUCGAGAGGAACACCAGUGGCGAAGGCGAGUCUCUGGACGAAUCCUGACACUGAGGCACGAAAGCUAGGGGAGCAAACAGGAUUAGAUACCCUGGUAGUCCUAGCUGUAAACGGUGCACGUUUGCUGUAAGAGGAAUCGACCCCUUUUGUGGCGAAGCUAACGCGCUAAACGUGCCGCCUGGGGAGUACGGUCGCAAGAUUAAA
rnacentral:rRNA from 1 species